rnacentral:rRNA from 1 species
AGUCUUAACGAUGGAUGUCUUGGUUCCUACAGCGAUGAAGGCCGCAGCAAAAUGCGAUACGCAAUGAAAAUUGCAGUGACUGUGAAUCAUCAGAAUGCUGAAUGUAAACUACACCAAUUCCCUUCGGGGAAUAGUGGUACUCCUACAGAAAAUAAAAUAAUACUUUGCUCUCUAGGUUUCUUUUAAAUAUAAAAUAUGUUUUCAUAUUAUAUGUAUAAAAGAAAAGAGAAAUAGGAAUUUAUUCCAAACUAAAAAUUAAUUUUUAGUUAAAGUUUCUCGCUGAAUAAAAUUUAUUUUCAUUCAUUUUCUAGAGUAACAAAAAAAGAAUUCUUUUAUUCUUUUUAACAAAGUGUUUGAUUUGAUGUUAGGAGGGCAAAUCCGCCGAAUUUAAGCAUAUAAUUAAGCGGAAGAAAAGAAAAUAACUAUGAUUCCUUUAGUAACGGCGAGUGAACAAGGACCAGCUCAAACGGUUAAUCCUUCGUUUGGUGCAAACCUUUCGACGGAAUUGUCGUUGAAUUAUUCCAUGAAUGCCUUUAAUUUGAGCAAAGUGAGCAGGAAUGCUUCCCCAUAGAGGGUGAAAGGCCCAUAGUUCUUUUUAAUUUAUUCAUUGGAAUUUUUCAUGCCGAGUCGUGUUCUUUGAGAUUGGAGCACUAAUACGUGUGAUACAUUUCACAUAAAGCUAAAUAUGUUUAGGAGACCGAUAGCAAACAAGUACCGUGAGGGAAAGAUGAAAUAGUACUCAGGAAUGAGCAAUUAAAUAGUACCUGAAAUCGUUAAGAUGGAACGGAUUAAGAGAGAAAACAAGUAAAGAGGUGAAUUUUUUAUAUUUUUUUUUUUGUUUUAUAAUUCUCUUCUUUAUUAAAAGAAACAUCAGUGAUUAAUUUAAUUUCAAUAAAGCAAUCCCCUGAAAUUCAAAAUUUCUUUUAAUUUUGUUUUCACUUUCUCCCCGCACUAAUGUGGGGAAAACUGGCUUUAUUUCUUCAAUUAUUUUUUUUGCUGAGGAAUUUUAAAAUUAUUUGAAUUUUUCUUCUUAUAAUUUAAGUUGUUUCUAUAUAGUACUUUCUUAACCCACUCGUCUUGAAACACGGACCAAGGAGUCUAGCAAAUGUGCAAGUGUAUAUGAUUCUUUAAACAUUUCUCUUUUUAAUAUACGCAUAAUUAAUGUAAUAUGUUUCUUUAUUGUAGAUUUGUGGUGUUUAAUUUUUAUUAAAUCCCCACUUUGCAUACAAUACCGGUAAGCAAUUAUGCUUUAUUGAGUACGAGCAUAUUUGUUAGGACCCGAGAGGCUUUGAACUAAGCGUGAUGAGAUUGAAGUCAGUUGAAAUUCUGAUGGAGGAUCGAGUUGAUACUGACGUGCAAAUCGUUCAUUUCAAUUUCGUUUAGGGGCGAAAGACUAAUCGAAAAGCCUAUUAGCUGGUUAUUUUCGAAAGAUCUCUCAGGAUCGCUGGAGUUGAAUUUAAUAUAUUUUUAUUAGGUAGAGAUAAUGAUUAGAGGAUUUAGGGAAAUCAUUUUCCUUGACCUAUUCUCAAACUCCCAAUAGGUAAAAAGGGCGAAAUAACUCAAAUUAGAAAAUUUCACUAAAAAAUAAAUAAAAUAACUCCAAGUGGGCCAUUUUUGGUAAGCAGAACUGGCGAUGAGGGAUGCUCCUAACGCAUGGAUAAGGUGCCUAAAUAAUUCGCUCAUGAGAUCCCAUAAAAGGUGUUGGUUCAUAAUGACAGUAGGACGAUGGUCAUGGAAGUCGAAAUACGCUAAGGAGUGUGUAACAACUCACCUACCGAAUGAACUAGCCCUGAAAAUGGAUGGCGCUAAAGCGAAUUACCGAUACCAAGCCAUAAAAAGAACAGAAAAAAAUUAAUUUUUUUUUAAGAAUCUUUUUAUGAGUAGAAAAUCGUGGGGUUUGUGUUGAAGCGAAAUACGUGAGUUUUCGUGGAACAUCUCCCUAGUGCAGAUCUUGGUGGAAGUAGCAACUAUUCAAAUGAGAACUUUGAAGACUGAAGUGGAGAAGGGUUUCUUGUCAACUAUGAUUGAACAAGAGUUAGCCGCUCCUAAGGGAUAGCUGAAAAGUGUUUAAAAGGGGUUCCUUCCCCGUCUCAAAAGGGAUAAAAGGUUCCUUCCCCGUCUCAAAAGGGAAACAGGUUGAUAUUCCUGUGCCAAUAGUAUUAUGAGUUUCUUAGAUGGUAACAUAUAUAUAAAUGAACUCCUUUACAUAGGCUUUACACUCGGGGUGCGUUUUCUUUGCACUUUACCUUUAUAACAAACCUUGGAAUCAAUUUACUUGGAGAAGAGGUUCGUUGAACUCAAUUCAAAAAAUUUCUUGAACGGGGUUUUCGGAUUCAGUUCGUUGAACUCAAUUCAAAAAAUUUCUUGAACGGGGUUUUCGGAUUCAGUUCAUUUUAUUUUUUGUUUUGUAGCAAUAGUAAUUCGUUUUUAUGAAUUAUCCGAAGUGGUAAGGACUAUCCUUGAAAAAAGGAGGGAACGGCUUUGUAAACUUGGUUUCUUCUGAUUCCAUUUUGCUUUGCUAUACUCUUAAUACUUGUAUGAGCGUACCAAAAACCGCAUCAGGUCUCCAAGGUUAAAAGCCUCUGGUUAAAUAGAAAAAAGUAAGUAAGGGAAGUCGGCAAAAUAGAUCCGUAACUUCGGGAAAAGGAUUGGCUCUGAGGACAUUAGAAAAGAGAAGAAAAAAAAGAGGGUAGAAAAUAAAAUUACAGAAUUAAUUUGCUUUUCUUUCGAUUUGCUUGUAAUCUGCUUUUUCUUUUUCUUCUUUCUUUUUUUCUCCCCCUCUUUUCGCCUUCACUUUAUUGUAAUUUUAUUACUUUAAUUUGAUACCUAUAAUGUUAACUCAGAACUGAAACGGACAAGGGGAAUCCGACUGUUUAAUUAAAACAUAGCAUUGUGAAAAGCCAUAACUGGUAUUAACACAAUGUGAUUUCUGCCCAGUGCUUUGAAUGUCAAAUUGAUGAAAAAUUAAAUAAAGCGCAGGUAAACGGCGGGAGUAACUAUGACUCUCUUAAGGUAGCCAAAUGCCUCGUCAUCUAAUUAGUGACGCGCAUGAAUGGAUAAACGAGAUUCCCACUGUCCCUACAUGCUAUCUAGCGAAACCACAGCCAAGGGAACGGGCUUGGCAAAAUCAGCGGGGAAAGAAGACCCUGUUGAGCUUUACUCUAGUCUGACUUUGUAAAACGACUUAAAAGGUGUAGAAUAAGUGGGAGUAGAAACUGAAAUAUGUUUUUACGACAGUGAAAUACCACUACUUUUAAAGUUGUUUUA